AGUGAACGCUGGCGGUAGGCCUAACACAUGCAAGUCGAACGGCAGCACAGGAGAGCUUGCUCUCUGGGUGGCGAGUGGCGGACGGGUGAGGAAUACAUCGGAAUCUACUCUGUCGUGGGGGGUAACGUAGGGAAACUUACGCUAAUACCGCAUACGACCUACGGGUGAAAGCAGGGGACCUUCGGGCCUUGCGCGAUUGAAUGAGCCGAUGUCGGAUUAGCUAGUUGGCGGGGUAAAGGCCCACCAAGGCGGCGAUCCGUAGCUGGUCUGAGAGGAUGGUCCGCCACACUGGAACUGGGACACGGUCCAGACUCCUACGGGAGGCAGCAGUGGGGAAUAUUGGACGAUGGGCGCAAGCCUGAUCCAGCCAUACCGCGUGGGUGAAGAAGGCCUUCGGGUUGUAAAGCCCUUUUGUUGGGAAAGAAAUCCAGCUGGCUAAUACCCGGUUGGGAUGACGGUACCCAAAGAAUAAGCACCGGCUAACUUCGUGCCAGCAGCCGCCGUAA
rnacentral:rRNA from 1 species